rnacentral:rRNA from 1 species
UACGUAGGGGGCGAGCGUUAUCCGGAAUUAUUGGGCGUAAAGAGUACGUAGGUGGUUUUGUAAGCGUGGGGUGAAAGACCGAAGCUUAACUUCGGUUAGCCUUGCGAACUGCAGGACUUGAGUGCAGGAGAGGAAAGUGGAAUUCCUAGUGUAGCGGUGAAAUGCGUAGAUAUUAGGAGGAACACCAGUGGCGAAGGCGACUUUCUGGACUGUAACUGACACUGAAGUACGAAAGCGUGGGUAGCAAACAGGAUUAGAUACCCGGGUAGUCCCUGAGCGGGCUGGCAA